rnacentral:rRNA from 1 species
UACGUAGGGGGCAAGCGUUGUCCGGAAUCAUUGGGCGUAAAGAGCGCGUAGGCGGCUCGGUAAGUCCGCUGUGAAAGUCCAGGGCUCAACCCUGGAAUGGCGGUGGAAACUGUCGAGCUAGAGUCCGGAAGAGGCGAGUGGAAUUCCUGGUGUAGCGGUGAAAUGCGCAGAUAUCAGGAGGAACACCAAUGGCGAAGGCAGCUCGCUGGGACGGUACUGACGCUGAGACGCGAAAGCGUGGGGAGCAAACAGG